AGGUCAUCUCAAAGAGGGCUUGUGGAGUUGUGAGACCAGGGGCUCUUAACGCUGUGACCUAAGAUGAAAGUUCUCCACAGAACGCCACAGUCACUCGGUAGUGUGCUGUUUUUUUCCUGAGGAGAUACAAGA
ensembl:snoRNA SNORA25 small nucleolar RNA SNORA25